CGACACCUAGCGGCAGUAGGGAGAAACGAAAUACGGAGGUCCAGUCGCCGUGUGUGCCGUAGAGGCUGCUGUCGCGGACGGAAGAAUGAAGCUGCUAGCAAAGAAAAAGCGAACGGCCAAGCAGUUCUGCUGUGUUCCUCGGUGCGUGCCAGCGAGAUGGAAGGACAGCGAUAUUUCCGUUCACGCACUUCCCUCCGAGUGGAAAGGCUGAAGCCGCAGAACCAGGUGGAUCGCUAACCUCCGCAUCGGCAAGGCUGUGACGCUUACAGUGACUGUUUGCUCACGGCAUUUUGCACGGGAUAAUUUCUCCUUACCAGAUGUAGCAUGUCAAAGACAGCGGCUGAAAAAAAUGCAGUACCAACUGAAAACCUGCCAAGGACGUCAUGUUAUGAUGAGAACAAGGAUGCUCAUAUGAAAGAGCUUUCACUGGCAAGACUUCGCCGACGUGUGUAUCGGUCAGCCAGAAAUGAAUCAAGCAAAGAAACUGUUGCCUCCCCAUUAGAAGCAAAGGUGUUGCCCCAUGCACCUGUCAGCACGACCACCAUGGUAAAUUGGCUGCCUGCAACUUGUGCACACAUUGCUUCACCACUAAUUCCUUGGGAUUAAACUCUGACAUUGCAGGACGAUCUCCCAUCCCCUGACCGCAACAGCAUGGACCAAAUAAGUGACAAAGGAAAUAUGGUAAUUUCUUUUUGUAUAUGUAUGUGUUGUGGUAGCUGUCUUUACCUAGACGGUGGCAUGCUUUCUGGAUUUACAUCGUAAAAGCAUUGUAGCACGUGGUGUGUGAUGGGUGCACAUUAAUUGCAACUUGUGCACACAUUGCUUAACCACUGGUUUCUUGAACUGAACUCUAUCUGACAUUGCAGGACGAUUUCCCAUCCCCUAACAGCAUGGACCAAAGCCUUGCAAACACCAUAAGGGACAAGGACAUAGCAAAUAUGGCAAUUUAUUUUUUCUAUAUAUUUGUGAUGUGGUAGCUGUCUUUACCUAGCCGGCAGCAUGUUUUCUGGAUUAACUUCGUGAAAGGAUUGUGGUGUGUGAUGGGUGCAAAUUAACUGAUGCAAAAAGCCUGGCUUUCCUACUUCCAACAUUGAAUUUAAUACAUUGACGUGCAUUAUUGGAAUGACAAAAAGAAGCUGCAUUUCGCGUCAGAUAUGUCAGACAUUACAACUCUUGCUUUUGUUUUGUGACAGGAAUGUGCUUGCCAACCUGGCCUCCGGACAUUAAUGGCAGAGUACUCAAGAGAAGAAAAAGACGUGGCAAAUUUCCUACUAGAAAUGGCUUCACGGACAAGGCUUACAGAAAGCAAGGCUGCCCAAGUGACAUCGGGUACUUUUCCACAGAAGUUUGUGAACACGAUAAAUAGUAGCAACGUAAAUACAUUCACAGGCCUGCCAUCAUUCGAUGUUCUGAAUGCUCGUGUGACGUGCUACACAAAAAUUCAUCCACUUUCAGGACGGCACCAGUUAUGUGUAAAAACAAUUGCAUUGACAUUGGUGAAAUUGAAGCAUAUUUCCACUGCAUUCUUGAGUCACCUUUUUAACUGUUCUCUAACUACAUGUAGCAACAUAAUUGCAGAGACUGCUCAGUUGAUGUGUGAAAUUUUAAAAGUAACUGUGGCUGUGCCACCAAAAGAUGAAUUCCAGUGGCACGUUUGCAUAUUCGGCAUUAGGUGAUUCACCUGAAGUCGUGCCAUGGCUGGCGAUAUUGCAAGUAGCCUGUAUUGCAUAGAGGCAUUUGUGCGUGUGACCUUGGCUCCAUCAAAGCGUGGCGGCCUUGAGAGUAAGUGCGGUCUUCUGUUUGGAAAUCCAGCAUUUUUUAUGCCACUCAGCCACUUCAUACUUUUCAGACACGGUCGUUGCCAUGUGAUCUACAUGCUGCACUUGUUUGCAUUGGCCAAACCUGCAGACUUCAACUUCAACACACUUUUUGUAAAUUAGCAAUGCACAUUCUUUUGCAACUUGUAUUCUUCAUUGAAGUGCUGAUUUACACUACGCAUUCUGAUGCAAGUUUUCAUCUUAUGGUAUUCCGAGAUAUUUGCAGUUCACUUAUGAUCUGUGUGCAUAGAGUUGUGGUUAUUCUUCAAUGGCUGUUUGUUGUCCCUUUCCUUACUUGUAUUUUUUCACAAAAUAAACCACAUGCACUCAA